UAUUUAAAAGCUUUGUUGGUGAAGCUUUGUAGGUGAAGCUUUGAGGUUGAAGCUUUGUUGGGCAUCAUGAAUUGAUUUUGCUUCACACUAUCUUGAUGAAGAGUGUGUGAAGCUUUUAUAUGUUUUGGUGUUGAAAUUUUGUAUUGUAGGUGAAGCUUUGGGGUUGAAGCUUGAUAGGUGAAGCUUUGGUGUUGAAGCUUUAUAGGUGAAGCUUUGGUGUUGAAGCUUUAUAAGUGAAGCUUUGGUGUUGAAGCUUUAUAGGUGAAGCUUUGGUGUUGAAGGGUUGAAGCUUUAUAGGUGAAGCUUUGGGGUUGAAGCUUUAUAGGUGAAGCUUUUGUUGGCACCAUAAAUUGAUUUUGCUUCACACUAUCUUGAUGAAGAUAGUGCAAAGCUUUUGAG
rnacentral:lncRNA from 1 species